rfam:Camelus ferus unplaced genomic scaffold scaffold487, whole genome shotgun sequence.
GAAGGUAUAGCUCAGUGGGAGAGUACAUGCCUAGCAUGCACAAGGUCCUGGGUUAAAUCCCCGGUACCUCUA